rnacentral:rRNA from 1 species
GCUGGCGGCAUGCUUAACACAUGCAAGUCGAACGGCAGCAUGGCUUAGCUUGCUAAGCUGAUGGCGAGUGGCGAACGGGUGAGUAACGCGUAGGAAUAUACCUUUUAGUGGGGGACAACUCGGGGAAACUCGAGCUAAUACCGCAUAAUCUCUUCGGAGGAAAGCUGGGGACUUUAGGGCCUGGCGCUGAAAGAUUAGCCUGCGUACGAUUAGCUAGUUGGUGGGGUAAAGGCCUACCAAGGCGACGAUCGUUAGCUGGUCUGAGAGGAUGAUCAGCCACACUGGGACUGAGACACGGCCCAGACUCCUACGGGAGGCAGCAGUGGGGAAUAUUGGACAAUGGGGGAAACCCUGAUCCAGCAAUGCCGCGUGUGUGAAGAAGGCCUGAGGGUUGUAAAGCACUUUCAGUUGUGAGGAAGGUUCGGUAAUUAAUACCUGCCGGAAUUGACGUUAACAACACAAGAAGCACCGGC